GUUGAGACUCCGGCCGUUCAUGAACGACCAUGUACGUCUCAACGCAGGAGCAGAUCACAUGAAGGUUGGCCGUUCAUGAACGACCAUGUAUUUCUUGGUAGCUUAAGAGAGACUCAACAAAAGAAAGAAGGUUGUUCAUGAACAGCCUAUCUUUUGUUAACAGCAAACAUUAUGGACCAUAUAUCUCCCUGUUAAAGACGACGGGUAUAGCGAGGAUGUGUUGUAUACCUGAGCUUCGCCUUUGAAUUGUUGAUGGAAGGACCUGCUUUGAUUUUGGCAGAACUUGGGCCUCUUGAUUGCUGAUGUUUUUUUUUCCUUCUCUCUUCUUCCUCUGCUGCCUUUUCUGCUCCCUAGAAGUAAUGGAUUAG
rnacentral:lncRNA from 1 species